ensembl:lncRNA
CUUCCCUUGGGAGUGGUGGAAAAUUGUCCAGAAGGAGCUCGAAGAGAAGCAAAUCCAGUGGAAAUAGAUUUUCUUUCUCCAGUUUCUCAGCAAAAUUCUUAGCAUUCAUUCUUGGAUGAACCCAAACCACCUUUAUCUCUAAACUUGUUAGUGACUGAAUGGAAUGCGGUGCUUCUGUCGGAACAUCUUUAAGAUAUGUACAGCCCUGGGGUGUCUGAAGUAGAGUCAGCUCUAUUCAAAGGCCAAAAUCUGAGAGGGAAAAUGGAAUAGAUAUCAAAAGGAAGCUCAAAUGAUUUUGCUGAAGUCAAGAUGCUGAAUAAGUGAAGGCAAUAGGAGUCCAAUUGUUUUUGCUUUUUAUCUGUAAACUGGACUGGAUCCUGAAUUCUUCUAGGUCUCCUGAAAUAUCUGGCUAUAAAUCUCCAAACUAGCAUUUUCAAUUUUUUUUCCAUCAUUUUCAUUUGGAAUCUUGAGAGCUGAAACCACCCUUGUUCCUGAAGCCCUGAAAACUGCUUCUGGACAACUUGAUACAAACUUCAGAGAGAUUCAUGUCUGUUGCUGUGUAAGCCACUCAGAAAGAUACCUCAACAGCAGACGACAUCAUCAGAGACAUUUCAAACUGCAAAGGAUCUAGAAAUCUUCUUGACAGGCUGCCUGCUGGACUCAGAAAAUACAUUAUAAUCUUCUCCAAUCAUUAACCUUGUUUUCUUUUUGUUUCUCUAGAAAUGCUUCUCCAUAAAUACCUGGUUACUUGCUUACAAAAUGUAGGCCUAACUUUGGGAAGCCACCUGCACCAUCAUCUUACUAAGAGAUUGGUUCAGUGAGAUAGAACCAUCUACAUUACCAGCAGAAAGAACCUAGAAAAGUCAUCACGCUGUAUCACUCAAGACUCAAGACUGAGGAAUGAAGAAUAAGAAGGAGGAAUUUGUAACUGCGGGCCCCCCAGGACAGUUCAAUUGAUCCCAUCUUUUCAAAAGAGUCAUUAAGAGUGGUUUAUCAAGAACUGAGACCCCCUGGGAAAUCUUUAAUCUUUACAAAGUCAAGUGCUCCAACUUGUGGCAAAAUUGCUGAAAACCUAAAGGUUCCAGAAGCUGUAAAAGUUUACAAAGAACUGCAGAAUUUUACCAAGCUUCUUUUGUGUCCUGAGACCUUGGCUUGAUGAUCAUCAGGUUGGGGGGUUGGUCCCAAAAAUAUGAGUGGACGAAAAUGCAGUUACACCCAAUUUUGUGGUCAGAGAUGGUUGGACAGAAAUGUAGGUUGCACUCCUUUUUGUGACUAAGAGUCACGCUAAACUGCUGUCAUCCUCAGGGAAUUGCACUGGCCAUUGGAAGGGACAUUCCAAUAAGAUAACAUCAUUUAAAAGUGCACUUAAAUGUAAAGACUUGAAAAUUCCAAAGUAGCUUUAUUGAAAGUUUUGUUGCAAAAUGAAAAAAUUAAGUUAUAAAAGGUACCUAAAAGAAAAGCCUAAGAGGUCAUGGCUUUAGGGACAUCCUGUAAUCUACCUUCUAAGGAGAGUCCAAAAUGAGACCCUCUCAGAGUUAAAGAGACUCAGAGAUUUUCUGGAAAACUGUUAUGUUGAACAUUACUGGAAUUGUUCAAUACUGCCAGAAAAAGUAAAAGACUACAUCCAUUAUAGGCAGAAAGAAGCUAGAGCAGUUGUCACCCUACAACCUUCAAGAUUGAACAGUGAACAACAGAAAGGGGGGAUUAGUAACCAGAGACCCUCCAGGACCAGUUCAACUGACCCAUCUGAUCCACAGAUUCCUCUCCUCAGGUCUCGGGUCUGUCAUUUGGAUCCAGUCAAGAACACCGCAUACCUCAGAGGAUGGAGAAGCUAUAAACUGCAGCUAAUCCAGGUUCCUGAAUACACAGUCACACUCGCUGUCAUCAGGAUGUUUGACAGCUGUAAUGGGCUGAAUUGUGUUCCCAAAAAUUCCUACAUUGAAGCCCUAACCCCCAGGACUUCAGAAUGUGGCUGUAUUUGGAGAUGGCUCUUUAAAAAGGUGCUGAAGGUAAAAUGAGGUCAUUAGGGUGGGCCCUGACCCACUGUGACUGGUGUCCUUAUCAGGAGAAGAGACUAGGACACAGACUCACACAGGGGGAUGAUGAUGUGAGGACACGGGGAGAAGACGGCAUCUACACACCAAGGAGAGAGGCCUCAGGAGAAACCAGCCCUCUUGACACCUUGAUCUCAGACUUCUGGUCUCCUUAACUGAGAGAGAAUAAGUUUCUGUCGUUUUAAGCCCCCCAUUCAGUGUUGUUGUCAUGGCAGCCCUAGCUGACUAGUACAACAUCCCCGUGUCUUCUACUGUACAUCUGUUUAAGUCCUUGCUAACAACUACCACCUGUUUAUUGCCACAUUCUUUAGAAACUGUGUGUUAGUUAGAUUAGUCUUCACAAAGAUGAGCAUGUGUCCUCAUUCUACUCACAAGACAGAUACCAUCUGGUCCUAGGGAAUAUGUCUAAAUCUUAAACCCUUCAAAGAUUUUAUGUUUUGGUUUUUUCCUCCUGUAUCAUUGAAGAUAAGUUGACACAUAGAUGUACAUAUAUACAUAUACAUGUCUUGCUCAUGCCCCUUAUUUUCUCUAUCAUCUUUUUCCUCAUUUGGGAUGACUUUAUUUCCAUGAGUUACAUUUGAUUAAUGCAUUAGAAUCUCACAUAAAAAAAAUUUGUUGCGCUAGAAUAUGCCCAUUUUUUCUAGUGCAAUCUGUUGAGGUUUUUCUAGCUUAAGGUGAAAUUUGACUUUCUCUCUGCUUCUGUCAGAAAAGCGGGAAGAAUCCUGAAAACAGAGGUUUAUCUGCCAAGUAGUUGGCUAAAUAUAAGCCAAGCAGUUACUCAAGCAUCUUAAAAGCCAGUAUUUUAUCUGGCUGAGUCCACGUUCAGAGGGGAGAAAUUGGCAAGUGAAAAUCAGUGAGAAGUGCUAGCAACCCCAAGAAAAUUAUUUCAAUUCCUAUAGAUUGUUGUGCCCUGUAAAGGCAUUUUAUUUAAACAGUCAAUACGAAUAGAAAAGAUCUUAGAAUGAAGAGAAAUGGGGGAGGAGGUUUAUUAAAAGGAGGAAAUGCAAUAGUAACAUUCUACUUGUAAAAAUCUAUAUAAUUCAGGAAAGUGCAGACCUCUGAAUGCAUGUAAUGACAGCGCCCUCACAGGUCCAAAUAAUCAAUGUGGUUUUUGACAGUUAAAUUGAAUGAUAAUGUUAGACUAUCUGUGUGUUAAUGUUCUGAUAAUAUUUUCCAACUAUCCUUUUUAUUCUUCUAUAAAUUACUUUUUCUUUAAAAUGAUAGUAUUAUACAACGUUCAAGCAGAAAUGAAAUUUAGAGAUGCUCUGCAACCAAAGUGCUUAUUUUAAACAUGUUUUCAGGAGGUGGAUCUGAUAGUAAGCAGUUAAUACAUAUGGUAGAUAGAGAGAAGAUCCAGCUGUCUUCCUUCCAAAGCCAGUAUCAUUUCUACCCACAUUUUAGUUAAAUGAAUACAUUUCCUUUCAUUAUUCUCCCAAUCCUGUAACGGUUUGUAAUACUAUUACCAUUUUACCCAUAAAUGUCAAGUUGAAGCUACUGACUUUCCUGAGCAUUAGCUACCGCUACAUGAACUAUGUGAUUGGGAUCGUGCGCUUCAUUCACUCAGUUUAUUCUAAUAUGUAUUUUUAAGUAGCAAUACAAGAUAUAAAAUUCAAGAAAAACAAAACAAAACAAAGACGACUAGA